CCCGCUGAACUUAAGCAUAUCAAUAAGCGGAGGAAAAGAAACCAACAGGGAUUGCCCUAGUAACGGCGAGUGAAGCGGCAACAGCUCAAAUUUGAAAUCUGGCUCUUUCAGAGUCCGAGUUGUAAUUUGCAGAGGGCGCUUUGGCUUUGGCAGCGGUCCAAGUUCCUUGGAACAGGACGUCACAGAGGGUGAGAAUCCCGUACGUGGUCGCUAGCUAUUGCCGUGUAAAGCCCCUUCGACGAGUCGAGUUGUUUGGGAAUGCAGCUCUAAAUGGGAGGUAAAUUUCUUCUAAAGCUAAAUAUUGGCCAGAGACCGAUAGCGCACAAGUAGAGUGAUCGAAAGAUGAAAAGCACUUUGGAAAGAGAGUCAAACAGCACGUGAAAUUGUUGAAAGGGAAGCGCUUGCAGCCAGACUUGCUUGCAGUUGCUCAUCCGGGCUUUUGCCCGGUGCACUCUUCUGCAUGAUGCCCCCGACUGUUCCUGUUAAUCAUUGCGGCGUCUCUAGAAACCAACAAAAUAGAAACGCACGCCCUAUUUUAUUAUUCCAUGCUAACGUAUUCGAGCAAAGGCCUGCUUUGAACACUCUAAUUUUUUCAAAGUAAAAGUCCUGAUUCCCCAACACGCCCAGUGAAGGGCAUGAGGUUCUUCAGAAGGAAGGCCCGGCCGGACGAGUGCACGCGGUGAGGCGGACCCGCCAGCCAGGCCCAAGUUUCAACUACGAGCUUUUUAACUGCAACAACUUUAAUAUACGCUAUUGGAGCUGGAAUUACCGCGGCUGCUGGCACCAGAC
rnacentral:ncRNA from 1 species